rnacentral:tRNA from 1 species
GUGCCCAUAGCUCAGCUGGAUAGAGUGUCUGACUACGAAUCAGAAGGUCGGGAGUUCGAAUCUCUCUGGGCACACCA